UAAUGUAAGGUGACUCCCAUGAGUCCUUUCUGUGGGGCACAAGCAGCCACCUGCAAACUCCUGAUCCUGAGGCUUUCUGACUGCCCUUUGUCGCUUUCCCUGGAGGCCUGGUUGAAGCGGUGAUGAUUCUCAGUAGCUCGUGCCCUGAACAUUUCAAAUUGACUUCAGAAAUUGCAUCACCUAAAUUCUCAAAGACGUUGGGGGUUUAAUUUGCUUGAUGCUCCCUCUCCCCCCCCCCCCCAAAAAAAAAA
rnacentral:lncRNA from 1 species